rnacentral:lncRNA from 1 species
CCCAUAAUGUCCUUUAGAGAAUUUUCCCCACCCACCCCACAGUAUUGGAAUAUUCUAAGGACAGGUAUCUUAUUUAGUUGCCAUGCAUCUUUAGCUUAUUUUAUUUUUUAAAGAUUUUAUUUAUUUGAGAGAGAAAGAGAGCACAAGCGGGGAGGGGGGGGGAGGGCAAAGGGAGAGGGAGAAGCAGACUCCACACUGAGCAGGGAGCCUGACUUGGGACUUGAUUCUGAGACCCUGAGAUCAUGCCCUGAGCCGAAAUCAAGAGUAUGACACUUAACUGACUGAGCUACCUAGGUGCCCAACUAUUAUCUUUUUUUAAUAAUGGUGCUUUCUCACGAUUAGAUUCAGGUUCUGCAUUUUAGGUGAUGUUAUUUUCUCAGAAUCACAUUUAAAGGCACCCAAAGGCCAUCUGUUCCUCACGGGUGGUGUUGAUUUUGGUCACCUGGUUAAUUUUGAUAACUUGAUUUCUGUACUAUGUAAUUACUGUUUUUUCUCUCCCUUGCCAUGAGUAAACAAUCUGGGGGAGAGAAACUUAAAGUUUUACAGGAAAAUGUAUUUGAUAUUAGUAGAAAGGAGGGGGAAUCAAUGAUAUAAAUUUCAGAGCAACUAUUAGGUUAUUUGAUUGUAUUCUUUCUCUUUUAUUAUAUCAGCUGAAAUUUACAAAAUUCUUUUUGUAAUAAGAAUAUUUUAAAUAGGGAUGUCUUAACAAAAAUGAAAAGGAAGCCUCAAGUUCUUUCUCUCCUGAUCUCCUUAGCAAAACUAAUACAUCAAUUAUAUCUGAUAAGAUAGUUUUGGAAAAAUAGGUCUGAGAUGUGAUGUUUCUGGUAUCACAGAUGGCCCAUAGUAAUCCAACAGGACGGAUAAUCUAGGUAGGUAGUCAUUGGCCAUAAAAGCAGAGUUCUCUUGGGUUUCCAUAGAGACAUUUCGACUUUCAGCACUGCUGCUUUUAAAAUGAGUGUCAGUAAAAAUAGAAAAAACUAAGGCUCUUUAGAAAAAAAAAAUCAUUAAAAUUUUUUUUUAAAGUAGUAAAGUUCCUGGUUAAAAAUCCACGUUGAAGCCAAAACUUGUGCUUCACAGUCAUUCUGCGUCAACUGGCCUUGAAUAGCCUUGGGCAGAAGAGGCAUCAAGAACUGGUUUCUCUGCCUUUUGGCAAAAGCAUGAGACUGCACUGACUUCAUCUAUGAAGACAACUGCCAACUAGUUUCUUACUCUGUAAAUUGUUAAUUGUGUGUGGUGAAGAAAAGGGUUAUGGGUGACGUUAUUUUUAUAUGGGUAAGACUGGCAUAAGUUCUGGUGAAAGUUUGACAUCUUUAGGUUCUUUUGUUUUUUCAAGUUGAGCUAAUAAAGAGAGGCUCAUGGGAUUAUUUCACACCUGAUUUUUAAGUGAAUAUUGAGCUAAAUGCCAUGUGUCCGUGACAAUUAAGGACUUUGUCGUGGGUUGAAGAAGCAUGAACUUGUGAUCACGCCUAGAACAGGAGUCCACAAAAUAUGGCCUGUGGGCCAAACCCAGCCUUCUGCCUCUUUUGGUACCACUAACAAGUUAAAAAUGGUUUUAUGUUUUGAAAUGGUUGGAAAAAAAAAUCAGAAGAAGACUUUAGUGACCUGUGAACAUCAUCUGAAAUUCGAAUUUCAGUGUCCACAAAUUGCUUUAUUGAAACGUAGCAUGCCCAUUUUCGUGUGGUCUGGAGCUGC